GUGUUCGCAAUGAGCUGUUGUGAUCUAUACUCCGUUGGAGCGUGGUACAUUAUAUCGUUCACAUUUAACGAAGUAGGCAAUGCUGACAGAUAACCCCUAAAAUUUCGGGAAUAAUAUAGAUAUAUAAAUAGCGAUUCAAUCACCUACAUAAGUGGAUAAACAUCAAUGUAAAAUAACUGAAAUGAAGAAAACUGAGAAAGUUGAUGAACCGAGUGAGUUACAAAUAGUACAUGAUAAGGCAGUAAAUUUCAUCACAAAUGAGAAAGGGCAAGUCCUAGUCCUCGAUAAUGGUAAAGCCGAAUGGUACAACACAGAGUCGACGCCUCCACCAUCACCCGAUCCAUCAACAAAUGUCAAUACUGCCAAUGUUGCUGAGUCAAUGGAGGAAAAAGUGAAGAGUACUAAAAAUACGGUUAGAACAUCCUCUACAUCAAAAAAGAUUCGAUGUGGGUGGUCACGUGCUCAGACAUUGGCUCUGAUCAAUUUUUAUGUCAGCCAUCAAAAAGAGUCCGUAAGCACUACUGUGAAAAAUGAUAUGGUGUGGAAAGAUUUUGAGCGCGAGCAAGCAAAUCAAGAUGGGAGUCAUGACCGUUAACAAAUCAAAGAUAAAUGGGCAGCUUUGAAGGCAGCUUUUUAUAAGGCUCUGGACAAUAGAUCAAAUAAAUCAACAGGUGCAGCGCCUAUUUCUUUUGAUUAUUUUGAUGAGAUAUAUAAGAUUUUCAAAGACGAUCCUAGAGCAAAACCUAUUGCGAUCGCUUCAUCUUUCAGAGGAGCAAAGAAUAUAUCUCCUAAGUUACGAGACAGUCAUAACUCAGAAGACGAAGAAGAUGAGAGUAUCAUUGAGAAUUCAGGUGCUGAAAAGGAUGGGCCAGGAUUCCAACAACUUCCAAAAUUGAAAAAAACUAAGUUCGAAACGCAUCUUGCUGCGCUGGAAGUUGAACCAAGGAACAGGUCGGAAGAUAUCCAACAACGUCAUGCCGAUUCCAUGGCAGUACAGAGAGGUUGCCUUGAUGUUCUCAAAGAUAUGACAAAUGUAGUCAAACAAUUGGUUAGCCAUAAGAGGAACAGAGGAGAAGAGGACUCUGAAGAGGAUCAUAAGUAACACUUUAGACAAUGUUUCCACUUUUAUAGCUUUCCAUUUGGUUUACUUUUGUUUUGUUUAAACCUACAUACUUGAUAAAUGUCAUGAGAAUAAUUUUGUAGUGAAUAUGUAAAUCAAGAUCAGUAAAUUUCCGUUCGAUCAUUUUUUUUUUAUAUCUGAGAAUUCCAAGGAAUUAGCAAAUUCUCAUGAAGACUCUUUCUUAGCUCUCACUCUAGUCCACAAACAAGGUCCUUAUAAGGACACGUCAAUUUCCCUAAGAUUCAACGGUAUUCAUGAAAACCUUAUACCGAAAAUAAUGUGGCUGAUCUCGUCUUACCAUUUCACUUCUGAAUUUUAUUAGUUGGUUAAAACUGUUGUAAUUCACGAAUAUUAGAAGACUGAUUCGUAUUACAAUUUAGUUUUAUGAGGAAUAAUAGUGAUAAACCCGCCUAGAUACAGUAAGUCAGUAGAUAUAUCGAUGGAAGUGCAAUUGUCAGUGAUAUUACUCAUAGCCGCUGAAAAUAUAAGUUGAUAUAGUUAUAGGGCACUACGGGUACUGUAUAUUGUAAAGUAUAGAAUACUCAUAGGAGGAAUCUCCUAUAGAUAGAUAUAGGAGAAUAUAAUAUCUAUACUAUAUAGAUAAUCUCUAUAGUAUAGAAUAUCCAUAGAAGGAAUCUCCUAUGGGUAUUCUAUACUUUUCAUAUAACUGUGUUCUUUCGGCAUCAAUUUCCAAGUUAUUAUAAUGAGAUUCCAAUUUGAAUUGGAAAAUGAGUGCCUACCAUUAUUUUCUAUCCCUCUAUAAGAGCUUUAGUAUUCUAUUCAC